CCACAGACCAAGCACCCCUUUUGAGAGGUGGUCGUGGGCCUCGUUGGAGAGGUGUGGGGCGAAUUUGGUAGAGGACAAGGCCACAGACCAAGCACCCCUUCUGAGAGGUGAUCGUGGGUCUCGUUGGAGAGGUGUGGGGGGAAUGUGGUAGAGGACAAGGCCACAGACCAAGCACCCCUUCUGAGAGGUGGUCGUGGGCCUCGUUGGAGAGGUGUGGGGCGAAUUUGGUAGAGGACAAGGCCACAGACCAAGCACCCCUUCUGAGAGGUGAUCGUGGGUCUCGUUGGAGAGGUGUGGGGGGAACGUGGUAGAGGACAAGGCCACAGU
ensembl:lncRNA